rnacentral:rRNA from 1 species
GAUAACAGCUGGAAACGGCUGCUAAUACCGCAUAAGCGCACGGAGCUGCAUGGCUCAGUGUGAAAAACUCCGGUGGUAUGGGAUGGGCCCGCGUCUGAUUAGGCAGUUGGUAAGGUAACGGCUUACCAAGGCGACGAUCAGUAGCCGACCUGAGAGGGUGACCGGCCACAUUGGGACUGAGACACGGCCCAAACUCCUACGGGAGGCAGCAGUGGGGAAUAUUGCACAAUGGGGGAAACCCUGAUGCAGCGACGCCGCGUGAGCGAAGAAGUAUUUCGGUAUGUAAAGCUCUAUCAGCAGGGAAGAAACUGACGGUACCUGACUAAGAAGCACCGGCUAAAUACGUGCCAGCAGCCGCGGUAAUACGUAUGGUGCAAGCGUUAUCCGGAUUUACUGGGUGUAAAGGGAGCGUAGACGGAUGUGCAAGUCUGGAGUGAAAGCCCGGGGCUCAACCCCGGGACUGCUUUGGAAACUGUAGAUCUAGAGUGCUGGAGAGGUAAGUGGAAUUCCUAGUGUAGCGGUGAAAUGCGUAGAUAUUAGGAGGAACACCAGUGGCGAAGGCGGCUUACUGGACAGUAACUGACGUUGAGGCUCGAAAGCGUGGGGAGCAAACAGGAUUAGAUACCCUGGUAGUCCACGCCGUAAACGAUGACUACUAGGUGUCGGGUGGCAAAGCCAUUCGGUGCCGCAGCAAA